AUUGAACGCUGGCGGCAGGCCUAACACAUGCAAGUCGAACGAGGCGCGGACGGGUGUGUAAUGUCUGGGACACUGCCUUAUGGCGGGGGAUAACUCCUGGAAACGGUACCUAAUACCGCAUACCAUCAGAUGUGCCCAGAUGGCAUUAGCUAGUUGGUGGGGUAACGGCUCACCAAGGCGACGAUCCCUAGCUGGCCUGAGAGGAUGACCGGCCACACUGGAACUGAGACACGGUCCAGACUCCGACGGGAGGCAGCAGUAGGGAAUCUGGCACAAUGGGCGAAAGCCUGAUGAAGCCAUGCCGCGUGUAUGAAGAAGGCCUUCGGGUUGUAAAGUUCUGUUAGUAGGGAGGCGGUACCUGCAGAAAAAGCCACGGCUAACUCCGUGCCAGCGGCCGCGGUAAUAC
rnacentral:rRNA from 1 species